CAUUCACGGAGAGUUUGAUCCUGGCUCAGGACGAACGCUGGCGGCGUGCUUAACACAUGCAAGUCGAACGAUGAACCACCUUCGGGUGGGGAUUAGUGGCGAACGGGUGAGUAACACGUGGGCAAUCUGCCCUGCACU
rnacentral:rRNA from 1 species